GUAAUUUGUCCUUUAAUUGGGGACUUGAAUGAAUGGGCCGACGCAAAACUCUCUUUUCCUUGGGCUUUAAAAAUUUAGAUUUAGGUUAAAAUUCCUAGAUAUACUUAAUAGACGAUAAGACCCUAUAAAAUUUUACCUCAUUACACCUAAUUAGUUAUUAAACUUAGUGGAGGUUUCGCUGGGACGGCUAAAAUAUAGUACCUAUUUUCACUUCAACAGUAAUAUGUGAAUUUUCUGACCCGUUAAAGAUUGAAGAUCUAAUUACUUUAGGGGUAACAGCGUAAUUUUUCUUAGAGCCCUAAUCAAAAGAAGAGUUUACGACCUCGAUGUUGAAUUAGGGAAACUACGUUGGCGCAAAAGCUACUUAAGUAGAUCUGUUCGAUCUUUUAUCCCUUACAUGAUCU
rnacentral:rRNA from 1 species